rnacentral:rRNA from 1 species
AGCUCUACCUUAGUUUUCUUAUUACACCAAACAAAAUACUAGACUUAAGAGCUAUUCAAAUAAGGUACAGCUUAUUUGAAAAAGGCUACAACCUUCAACACUGGGUUAAUAUUGAUUAUAUCAACAAAGUGGGCCUAAGAGCAGCCAUCUUAUAGAAAGCGUUAAAGCUCAACUAUCUAAUCUCCUAAAUUCCAAAAAUUAUCUUCAACCCUUCAUUACUACUGAACUAUUUUAUACCUUUAUAAAAGUUAUUAUGCUAGAACUAGUAACAAGAAUUAGCCCUUCUCCAAAAUGCACACUUAAGCCAAAAUGGACACCCCAUUGGCAGUUACCGCAAAUGCACCUAUUAUAGUACUCCACAACUAGACAACUCUAUAACCCUUAGCGUUAACCUGACACUAGAGCAUUACAGGAAAGAUUAAAAGAGAAAGAAGGAAUUCGGCAAAUCUCGGUCCCGCCUGUUUACCAAAAACAUCGCCUCUUGGCCAAAUAUAAGAGGUCCAGCCUGCCCACUGACAUAGUUUAACGGCCGCGGUACCCUAACCGUGCGAAGGUAGCAUAAUCACUUGUUCUUUAAAUAAGGACUUGUAUCAACGGCAUCACGAGGACUAUACUGUCUCCUUUCUCCAAUCAGUGAAACUGAUCUCCCCGUGAAGAAGCGGGGAUUAACCUAUAAGACGAGAAGACCCCAUGGAGCUUAAAGCCCACAAACACCUCUACGCACUUAAACCAAUUUAGCCUAAGAGACCUGUAAGCCGGCUUUAGGUUGGGGGGACCGCGGAGAAAAACCUAACCUCCACGACAAACGGGCAAACGCCCUAAUCCAUGAAUUACAAUUCUAAGAAUCAAUAAACUGAUGUUUAAUGACCCGAUUAUUCGAUCAACGAACCAAGUUACCCUGGGGAUAACAGCGCAAUCUACUUCAAGAGCUCAUAUCGACAAGUAGGUUUACGACCUCGAUGUUGGAUCAGGGUAUCCCAGUGGUGCAGCCGCUACUAAAGGUUCGUUUGUUCAACGAUUAAAACCCUACGUGAU